rnacentral:rRNA from 1 species
AUUGAACGCUGGCGGCAUGCUUUACACAUGCAAGUCGAACGGCAGCGCGGGCUUCGGCCUGGCGGCGAGUGGCGAACGGGUGAGUAAUGCAUCGGAACGUGCCCAGUAGUGGGGGAUAGCCCGGCGAAAGCCGGAUUAAUACCGCAUACGACCUGAGGGUGAAAGCGGGGGACCGAAAGGCCUCGUGCUAUUGGAGCGGCCGAUGUCGGAUUAGCUAGUUGGUGGGGUAAAGGCUUACCAAGGCGACGAUCCGUAGCUGGUCUGAGAGGACGACCAGCCACACUGGGACUGAGACGCGGCCCAGACUCCUACGGGAGGCAGCAGUGGGGAAUUUUGGACAAUGGGGGCAACCCUGAUCCAGCCAUGCCGCGUGCGGGAAGAAGGCCUUCGGGUUGUAAACCGCUUUUGUUCGGGAAGAAAUCCUCUGGGCUAAUACCCCGGGGGGAUGACGGUACCGGAAGAAUAAGCACCGGCUAACUACGUG